AAAGACACAAAGCUAAGUUACCAGUGGAAAGUUGCCAUCAGGAGGGUUGAUUCUACAUCAAAAACACUAUGGAAACCAAAGGCACAUGACAAAGUCUGUUUCCUCCACUUUCGUGAGGAAGAUUACACUUCUACAUGAGAGAAAAAGACUGAAGCCAGGAACGAUACCAUCCAUAUUUCCAUUUAAUAAAGUGAAAGACGUACCAUCAUCAGCUGUCUAGCUAAAAGCUGCAAAGUAUUAGAUCCGGUGACAGUAGGCCUACUAACAGCUCCUGAUUGUAUUCAUGGAGGUUGAGUCUCGAGCAGAUGAAGCAGUGGAAGACAAACAUGAAGACUGUCCUGGUGAGAGCCAAAAAGAAAGUACAGCUUCCCAGUGUGAUAUCAUUACAUCAUCAGACACAAGAGAAAGCAUCAUGCUGUACCAGCAAAAUGCAAAGGCUGUCCAGUAUCUAACUGGAUUCAGUCAUUUGAACACUUCAUGUUGUUUUUCAAUUGCCUUGGACCAGCAGCUCACCGCUUGAAUUUCAAAUGUUUGUCACCAAAGGACCAAUGUUUUUUGACCAUUAUGCAUUUUGACAUUUUCAAGCUAUCGGUAACAACGGCGUCAGAAAUAAAAAGCACAUGGAUCAACUUUGUUUUUCCAGCUCAGUGAAAUGAACAUUUAGCCAGAACGUGACAUUGUUGACGACUAUAUGCCUUUAAAAUUUAAGAAAUAUGGAGUAUUGAUUUCAUGGGUAAACAAGAGUGACUGGCAUAAUUUGCCCUUGUCUCGUCUUUCGGUUGCGUUCAAAAUAUCACCAAACCUAAAAAAUAAAAUUAAAUUAAUGAGAUUUUGUUUUUUUACUGUUCUUUUCAAUUUGUAUUUCAAAUGCAAAAUGAAAUUGUACAUUCAUAGCAUUAAAUUGUGACCUUCAAACCAUGAUAUAUCAUCUCACAACUUGUAUUUCUGUACUAUAAUGCAACUACAGAUACAUAGUAGCUCAAGCUACA